CUUUCGUCUUGUUUUUCUUUUCUUUUUUCACUUUCUUCCUUUGGCAAGGGGCGUCUCUGGCUCUCUGCCUAUCUGCCGCUGCUCGCGGCUGCUACCCCGUUCUCGACGCCCGUCUUGCCGUGGCCUGCUGCUUGCUCCGCCGUUUCCCCGGUGAUUUAGCCGGUGUUGGGCGCGCGUCCGGCGUGUUCUUCGGCGGAUCCCUUCGUUCGGUCCUACGCUGCCGUCAAGUCUUCAUCUGCUCCAAUCGCUGGUUCUGGUUGUUUCCAACUUUCCAUCCGCGUUCGUUUUUGCUCGGGGUGGUUACAGGAUCUAUGAAAGAAUUACUUACUUUUGCUAUGCGGAGCGGGAGGAGGUGUUUGACGGAAUUCUGCUAUGAGGAGUAGGGCAGGAAGCUGCCGCCGUGGACGUCGCCGAGGGGGCCUCGCGCCCAAGAGCCAAAUGUGGUGUUCCGACGAGGUGGAGCCCCCGCACCCCGCCGUGAGAGCGGGCGGCUCUAGGAGCCAAGUCACGCCGCCCCUAACCGCUGGCUUCUGCUGUUCCCCCUUCCUACCGCGUGACCCCGCCAGCUAGCAUCGGCGGGUGCUCUCCCGCGUGAUGUCGCCGGUGGGUGUUUCAGGCCGCUGAGGGCGCCGCUGGCUGUGGUGGAUUCACCAUAUGUGAGGGCGAAGCAGGCGCAGUUAACGCAGUUCACUUCCAUCUAUAAUUACACGAUAGAAGGGCAGGCUGAUGAAAUAGCUGCUGAUGAUACUUGCAGUUUGAUUUUUCGCACCACAACGCACCUGUAGUCUAGGAAUUAAGUUGAGGAUGAAAUAGACUGAAAGGGUGAUAAGUGACUCUAGCAGCAGGUCCCAGGUAAAUAGUUGAAGACAAAUAUUGGUACCUUAAACAAUAAGUUACACAAGAAAUAUAAUACCAGAAAGUUAUGUUCAAAUUUCUGUUUAA